rnacentral:rRNA from 1 species
UAUUGCUCAAUGGGCGAAAGCCUGAUGCAGCAACGCCGCGUGAGGGAUGACGGCCUUCGGGUUGUAAACCUCUUUUAGUAGGGAAGAAGCGUAAGUGACGGUACCUGCAGAAAAAGCACCGGCGAACUACGUGCUAGCAGCCGCGGUAAUAUGUAGGGUGCAAGCGUUGUCCGGAAUUAUUGGGCGUAAAGAGCUCGUAGGCGGUUUGGCGCGUCGGCUGUGAAAUCCCGAGGCUCAACCUCGGGCUUGCAGUGGGUACGGGCAGACUAGAGUGCGGUAGGGGAGAUUGGAAUUCCUGGUGUAGCGGUGGAAUGCGCAGAUAUCAGGAGGAACACCGAUGGCGAAGGCAGAUCUCUGGGCCGUAACUGACGCUGAGGAGCGAAAGCGUGGGGAGCGAACAG